rnacentral:misc_RNA from 1 species
CUCCCACCCUUGAAUACCUUACCUUUGUUGCUUUGGCGGGCCACGUCCGCGUGCCGGCUUCGGCUGGUUGCGCCCGCCAGAGGACCCAAACUCGUUUGUUUAGUGAUGUCUGAGUACUAUAUAAUAGUUAAAACUUUCAACAACGGAUCUCUUGGUUCUGGCAUCGAUGAAGAACGCAGCGAAAUGCGAUAAGUAAUGUGAAUUGCAGAAUUCAGUGAAUCAUCGAAUCUUUGAACGCACAUUGCGCCCCUUGGUAUUCCGAGGGGCAUGCCUGUUCGAGCGUCAUUAUGACCACUCAAGCCUGGCUUGGUGUUGGGGUCCGCGGUCCCGCGGCCCUUAAAAUCAGUGGCGGCGCCAUCUGGCUCUCAGCGUAGUAAUACUCCUCGCUACAGGGUCCCGGUGGCUGCUUGCCAGCAACCCCCCAUCUCACGGUUGACCUCGGAUCAGGUAGGGAUACCCGCUGAACUUAAGCAUAUCAAUAAG